rnacentral:rRNA from 1 species
AUGGCGGCAGCGCAAGGCCUAGGCAAAGAGCGGCCGCUGUACAAGGACGCAUCGGCGCCGGUAGAGGCGCGCGUGCGCGACCUGCUGGUCCGCAUGACGCUGCAGGAGAAGGCGGGCCAGAUGGCCCAGAUCGAGCUCUCCGUGGCGCCGCCCCGCGCCCUCACGAAGCUCGGCGUCGGCAGCCUCCUCAACGGCGGCGGCAGGCCGCCCUAG